rnacentral:rRNA from 1 species
AUGAUUAAAGAUAGCUUGCUAUUUUUAUGAAGAGCGGCGAACGGGUGAGUAACGCGUGGGAAAUCUGCCGAGUAGCGGGGGACAACGUUUGGAAACGAACGCUAAUACCGCAUAACAAUGAGAAUCGCAUGAUUCUUAUUUAAAAGAAGCAAUUGCUUCACUACUUGAUGAUCCCGCGUUGUAUUAGCUAGUUGGUAGUGUAAAGGACUACCAAGGCGAUGAUACAUAGCCGACCUGAGAGGGUGAUCGGCCACACUGGGACUGAGACACGGCCCAGACUCCUACGGGAGGCAGCAGUAGGGAAUCUUCGGCAAUGGGGGCAACCCUGACCGAGCAACGCCGCGUGAGUGAAGAAGGUUUUCGGAUCGUAAAACUCUGUUGUUAGAGAAGAACGUUAAGUAGAGUGGAAAAUUACUUAAGUGACGGUAUCUAACCAGAAAGGGACGGCUAACUACGUGCCAGCAGCCGCGGUAAUACGUAGGUCCCAAGCGUUGUCCGGAUUUAUUGGGCGUAAAGCGAGCGCAGGUGGUUUCUUAAGUCUGAUGUAAAAGGCAGUGGCUCAACCAUUGUGUGCAUUGGAAACUGGGAGGCUUGAGUGCAGGAGAGGAGAGUGGAAUU